UACGUAGGGGGCAAGCGUUGUCCGGAAUCAUUGGGCGUAAAGAGCGUGUAGGCGGCUCGAUAAGUCCGCUCUGAAAGCUCGGGGCUCAACCCCGGGAGGCGGGCGGAUACUGUCGAGCUAGAGUCCGGAAGAGGCGAGUGGAAUUCCUGGUGUAGCGGUGAAAUGCGCAGAUAUCAGGAGGAACACCAAUGGCGAAGGCAGCUCGCUGGGACGGUACUGACGCUGAGACGCGAAAGCGUGGGGAGCAAACAGG
rnacentral:rRNA from 1 species